CACUACAGAAAGGAUGUGGAAACUUUCGAGAGGAUGCGGAGGAGAUUUACCAGGAUUAGAGAGCAUGCCUUAUGAAGGAAGGCUGAGCAAGCUGGGGCUUUUCUCUUUGGAGCACAGGAAGAUGUGAGGUAGUCUGAACCAGCUCAGGAACAUACAAGAUUGGAUUAGACUACGGCAAUGAGCAAUAGAGCCAGAGAUACUGGAUGUCACUAUGCUUCUGGAAGUGCAAAACCUAAAGCAAAGGAAGAAAAAGAAAGAAGAGACCAACUUGUGUUAUCAAAAACACAAAAAAAAAGUUGACAGAAUAUUUUAAAAAUGAACUAAGGAGCACCAUGGGUCAAAACAGAUUGAUCAAUCUCACUCGAAUGAGCAUUGAACAUGAACUUCUGCGUGAAAUAGACAUUUCCAGUAUCAUCAACAAAUUUGCUCAUGCUACAUCUAGAAAAUGUAACUUUUUAAUUGUAGUUUUGUUACUUUUGACAUUUGAAAUUAAUACCUACAUGUAAGCAAUACUACUACUGAAGUGUCAAACAUUUGU